ACACGACUCUCGGCAACGGAUAUCUCGGCUCUCGCAUCGAUGAAGAACGUAGCGAAAUGCGAUACCUGGUGUGAAUUGCAGAAUCCCGUGAACCAUCGAGUCUUUGAACGCAAGUUGCGCCCGAGGCCAUCCGGCCGAGGGCACGCCUGCCUGGGCGUCACGCCA
rnacentral:rRNA from 11 species